UCUGAUUGUUUCAUACAUGUCUAUGUACGCUAGUGCUUGCCGCUGGGUUGGACUUAUUCCUACUCCGGCGAGGUGUAACACAGCAAAGGCGUAACCCGGGAUGCUCAGAUUGGCAUUUGCGUCGUUACAUUGCCCCCCACUUAGCAAUGGACGUCCUCGGCCAUUAUUUCGAGCACAGGAGCCAUCCCACCUCGCGCCAGUGCGCUGGUUUAUCCAUUACACCAUGAAAUCGCCAAUUUGCGACUUGCUGGUUGCCAGAAUCGAACCGCCGACCCGAAGUUUAUUUCGGAAUUCGUGCGGUCCCGUCUCGAUACCAUUGUAACACAGCAAAGGCGUAACCCGGGAUGCUCAGAUUGGCAUUUGCGUCGUUACACGAGGACAGCCAACACCACGCUUCCGCUUAUCCAGUCGACCCGCCAGGUGAGCAACUGCUACAGCCACGCAGAAUGUACAACCGGGUGUUGGCUGACCGCUCAUGCUUUUUGGGGUCGGGCGGCCAGGCAGCCUCUCGCU
rnacentral:lncRNA from 1 species